CGUUUACCGGAUUGUAAACGUAUCAGGAUGAUGCAGGACACAUUUCAGGAUGAAAUGAGGAUGCAGCCUCAGGACGAGGGAGCGGAUGCUUUAAGGAUAAAGCAAAGGACACCUCCAGGACGGAGAUGGACGUCAGACAAGAAGUCUGACCGCAUAGGGAUGGCCAAGGAAGAUAACCGGGAAGGUUAAAAGGACAGCUCCACGGAUGCGGAGAACCCGAGAAGGACUCAGCCAACGGAUUUGGCGGUAUCACGGAAUGAUGCAGGGAGCACCGAUUCGCAGCAGGAUCAGCUGUAGCAAGACCAGGAAGGGGCACCAUACGGUGCCCCUUUCUCUUUUC
rnacentral:other from 1 species